rnacentral:tRNA from 1 species
GCUAGCUCAGUUGGUAGAGCAUGGGACCCUUAAUCCCAGGGUCCUGGGUUCGAUCCCCACAUUUGGCA